GAUGAACGCUGGCGGCGUGCCUAAUACAUGCAAGUCGAGCGAACAGACGAGGAGCUUGCUCCUCUGACGUUAGCGGCGGACGGGUGAGUAACACGUGGAUAACCUACCUAUAAGACUGGGAUAACUUCGGGAAACCGGAGCUAAUACCGUAUAAUAUAUUGAACCGCAUGGUUCAAUAGUGAAAGACGGUUUUGCUUUCACUUAUAGAUGGAUCCGCGCCGCAUUAGCUAGUUGGUAAGGUAACGGCUUACCAAGGCAACGAUGCGUAGCCGACCUGAGAGGGUGAUCGGCCACACUGGAACUGAGACACGGUCCAGACUCCUAAGGGAGGCAGCAGUAGGGAAUCUUCCGCAAUGGGCGAAAGCCUGAAGGAGCAACGCCGCGUGAGUGAUGAAGGUCUUCGGAUCGUAAAACUCUGUUAUUAGGGAAGAACAAAUGUGUAAGUAACUAUGCACGUCUUGACGGUACCUAAUCAGAAAGCCACGGCUAACUACGUG
rnacentral:rRNA from 1 species